rnacentral:rRNA from 1 species
UACGUAGGGAGCAAGCGUUGUCCGGAAUCAUUGGGCGUAAAGCGCGCGUAGGUGGCCUCAUAAGUCUGCUGUGAAAGUCAAAGGCUCAACCUUUGAAAGCCGGUGGAUACUGUGAGGCUAGAGUACGGAAGAGGCGAGUGGAAUUCCUGGUGUAGCGGUGGAAUGCGCAGAUAUCAGGAGGAACACCAAUAGCGAAGGCAGCUCGCUGGGACGUUACUGACACUGAGGCGCGAAAGCGUGGGGAGCGAACAGG